AUGGAGUUUUGGCCUUGGAUAUGGUUAAGGAAAUUGUGGUUGUUCAGCUUCUUGCAAAACACGAUGACGCGUUCAUCUUCUUCAUCAAAACAAAUCACGGCGACGAUCUCAUCCAACGCAUUCUCACCUCACUCCACCGCGACUUACAUCCGUAUCAAUCUUUGUUCUCCUCGGCGAAUCAAACUUUCGUUCACCUCUUCUAAAUCAUCGCCUCCGUCUUAA